AGAGUUUGAUCAUGGCUCAGAGCGAACGCUGGCGGCAUGCUUAACACACGCAAGUCGCACGGGCAGCUUCGGCUGUCAGUGGCGGACGGGUGAGUAACGCGUAGGUAUCUAUCCUUGGGUGGGGGACAACUGUGGGAAACUACAGCUAAUACCGCAUGAUGACUGAGGUCCAAAGCAGCGAUGCGCCUGGGGAGGAGCCUGCGUACGAUUAGCUAGUUGGUGGGGUAAAGGCCUACCAAGGCUGCGAUCGUUAGCUGGUCUGAGAGGAUGAUCAGCCACAUUGGGACUGAGACACGGCCCAAACUCCUACGGGAGGCAGCAGUGGGGAAUAUUGGACAAUGGGCGCAAGCCUGAUCCAGCAAUGCCGCGUGUGUGAAGAAGGUCUUCGGAUUGUAAAGCACUUUCGACGGGGACGAUGAUGACGGUACCCGUAGAAGAAGCCCCGGCUAACUUCGUGCCAGCAGCCGCGGUAAUACGAAGGGGGCUAGCGUUGCUCGGAAUGACUGGGCGUAAAGGGCGCGUAGGCGGAUGGCACAGUCAGAUGUGAAAUUCCCGGGCUUAACCUGGGGGCUGCAUUUGAUACGUGUGAUCUGGAGUGAGGAAGAGGGUCGUGGAAUUCCCAGUGUAGAGGUGAAAUUCGUAGAUAUUGGGAAGAACACCGGUGGCGAAGGCGGCGACCUGGUCCUUGACUGACGCUGAGGCGCGAAAGCGUGGGGAGCAAACAGGAUUAGAUACCCUAGUAGUCC
rnacentral:rRNA from 1 species